GUGCCAGCAGCCGCGGUAAUACGAAGGGGGCUAGCGUUGUUCGGAAUGACUGGGCGUAAAGGGCGCGUAGGCGGUCUGAAUCGUCGGGUGUGAAAGGCCUGGGCUUAACCUGGGAACUGCAUUCGAUACGGUCGGACUGGAGUGUGGGAGAGGUUGGUGGAAUUCCCAGUGUAGAGGUGAAAUUCGUAGAUAUUGGGAAGAACACCGGUGGCGAAGGCGGCCAACUGGACCACAACUGACGCUGAGGCGCGAAAGCGUGGGGAGCAAACAGGAUUAGAUACCCUGGUAGUCCACGCCGUAAACGAUGCGUGCUAGACGUUGGGAGACCUAGUCUCUCGGUGUCGUCGCUAACGCUUUAAGCACGCCGCCUGGGGAGUACGGCCGCAAGGUUAAAACUCAAAUGAAUUGACGG
rnacentral:rRNA from 1 species